ACGUAGGUGGCAAGCGUUGACCGGAAUUACUGGGCGUAAAGGGUGCGCAGGCGGUGGCCCGCGUGGGCGGUGAAAGCUCCCGGCUCAACUGGGAGAGGGCCGUCCAGACGGGGUCACUUGAGGGGCGGAGAGGGGCGUGGAAUUCCGGGUGUAGCGGUGAAAUGCGUAGAUAUCCGGAGGAACACCGGUGGCGAAGGCGGCUUCCUGGACCGACACUGACGCUGAGGCGCGAAAGCUAGGGGAGCAAACGGGA
rnacentral:rRNA from 1 species